rnacentral:rRNA from 1 species
AGUAGACGCUGAAGAGAGGAGCUUGCUCUUCUUGGAUGAGUUGCGAACGGGUGAGUAACGCGUAGGUAACCUGCCUUGUAGCGGGGGAUAACUAUUGGAAACGAUAGCUAAUACCGCAUAACAAUGGAUGACACAUGUCAUUUAUUUGAAAGGGGCAAUUGCUCCACUACAAGAUGGACCUGCGUUGUAUUAGCUAGUAGGUGAGGUAACGGCUCACCUAGGCGACGAUACAUAGCCGACCUGAGAGGGUGAUCGGCCACACUGGGACUGAGACACGGCCCAGACUCCUACGGGAGGCAGCAGUAGGGAAUCUUCGGCAAUGGGGGCAACCCUGACCGAGCAACGCCGCGUGAGUGAAGAAGGUUUUCGGAUCGUAAAGCUCUGUUGUAAGUCAAGAACGAGUGUGAGAGUGGAAAGUUCACACUGUGACGGUAGCUUACCAGAAAGGGACGGCUAACUACGUGCCAGCAGCCGCGGUAAUACGUAGGUCCCGAGCGUUGUCCGGAUUUAUUGGGCGUAAAGCGAGCGCAGGCGGUUUGAUAAGUCUGAAGUUAAAGGCUGUGGCUCAACCAUAGUUCGCUUUGGAAACUGUCAAACUUGAGUGCAGAAGGGGAGAGUGGAAUUCCAUGUGUAGCGGUGAAAUGCGUAGAUAUAUGGAGGAACACCGGUGGCGAAAGCGGCUCUCUGGUCUGUAACUGACGCUGAGGCUCGAAAGCGUGGGGAGCGAACAGGAUUAGAUACCCUGGUAGUCCACGCCGUAAACGAUGAGUGCUAGGUGUUGGAUCCUUUCCGGGAUUCAGUGCCGCAGCUAACGCAUUAAGCACUCCGCCUGGGGAGUACGACCGCAAGGUUGAAACUCAAAGGAAUUGACGGGGGCCCGCACAAGCGGUGGAGCAUGUGGUUUAAUUCGAAGCAACGCGAAGAACCUUACCAGGUCUUGACAUCCCGAUGCUAUUUCUAGAGAUAGAAAGUUACUUCGGUACAUCGGUGACAGGUGGUGCAUGGUUGUCGUCAGCUCGUGUCGUGAGAUGUUGGGUUAAGUCCCGCAACGAGCGCAACCCCUAUUGUUAGUUGCCAUCAUUCAGUUGGGCACUCUAGCGAGACUGCCGGUAAUAAACCGGAGGAAGGUGGGGAUGACGUCAAAUCAUCAUGCCCCUUAUGACCUGGGCUACACACGUGCUACAAUGGUUGGUACAACGAGUUGCGAGUCGGUGACGGCAAGCUAAUCUCUUAAAGCCAAUCUCAGUUCGGAUUGUAGGCUGCAACUCGCCUACAUGAAGUCGGAAUCGCUAGUAAUCGCGGAUCAGCACGCCGCGGUGAAUACGUUCCCGGGCCUUGUACACACCGCCCGUCACACCACGAGAGUUUGUAACACCCGAAGUCGGUGAGGUAACCUUUGGAGCCAGCCGC